rnacentral:rRNA from 1 species
GCAAGUCGAGGGGCAGCAUUUACUUCGGUAAGAUGGCGACCGGCGCACGGGUGCGUAACGCGUAUGCAACCUGCCUUAUACAGGAAGAUAGCCCAGAGAAAUUUGGAUUAACAUUCCAUAGUACCAUAAAGCUGCAUAGUUUAAUGGUUAAAACUUCGGUGGUAUAAGAUGGGCAUGCGUAUGAUUAGGUAGUUGGUGAGGUAACGGCUCACCAAGUCUACGAUCUUUAGGGGUUCUGAGAGGAAGGUC